UUAAUUGAAGCCAAACUUCAGAGGCAUAUUAUUGUUAAUAAUAGAAUUGAACAUCAUUCCAAUUAAA
rnacentral:tRNA from 1 species